rnacentral:rRNA from 1 species
CCCAGCCCUACGGGGUGCAGCAGUUAGGAAUUUUCUGCAAUGUACGAAAGUAUGACAGAUUGAGUCAGAGUGCUUUUCAUAUGAAAAGCUUUUGCCAAAUGUAAAAAGUUUGGCGAAUAAGGACUGGGUAAGACGAGUGCCAGCCGCCGCGGUAAUACUCGCGGUCCAAGUCGCAGCCAUCAUUAUUGGGUCUAAAACAUCCGUAGCUUGCUUAAUAAGUUUCUUGUGAAAUUCCAUGUCUCAAAUAUGGAGCGGGCAAGAAGUACUGUUAAGCUAGAGACUGGAAGACGUAAGAAGUACGUUUGGAGUAGCGGUAAAAUGUGUUAAUCCCAGACGGACUAACAACAGCGAAGGCAUCUUACGAGGACAGUUCUGACAGUAAGGGAUGAAGGCUAGGGGCGCAAAAGGGAUUAGAUACCCCUGUAGUCCUAGCAGUAAACACUGCACACUAAACAUUAGUACCUCCUCGAGAGGUGUUAGUGCUGAAGAGAAGUCGAAGAGUGUGCUACCUGGGAAGUAUAGUCGCAAGGCUGAAACUUAAAGGAAUUGGCGGGGAGACACUACAACGGGUGACGCGUGCGGUUCAAUUAGAUUCUACACCGUGAACCUCACCAGGAGCGACAGCAGGAUGAAGGUCAGUCGAAGUUACC